GUGGGGAAUUUUGGACAAUGGGGGCAACCCUGAUCCAGCCAUUCCGCGUGAGUGAAGAAGGCCUUCGGGUUGUAAAGCUCUUUCAGCAGGGAAGAAACGGUUGCAGCUAAUACCUGCGACUAAUGACGGUACCUGCAGAAGAAGCACCGGCUAACUACGUGCCAGCAGCCGCGGUAAUACGUAGGGUGCGAGCGUUAAUCGGAAUUACUGGGCGUAAAGCGUGCGCAGGCGGUUUUGUAAGUCAGAUGUGAAAUCCCCGGGCUUAACCUGGGAACUGCGUUUGAAACUACAAGGCUAGAGUGUGGCAGAGGGGGGUAGAAUUCCACGUGUAGCAGUGAAAUGCGUAGAGAUGUGGAGGAAUACCGAUGGCGAAGGCAGCCCCCUGGGUCAACACUGACGCUCAUGCACGAAAGCGUGGGGAGCAAACAGGAUUAGAAACCCUAGUAGUCC
rnacentral:rRNA from 1 species